UGAUCCCUGGCUUAGAACUAACGCUGGCAGUGCGUCUUAAGCAUGCAAGUCAAACGGGAUGUAGCAAUACAUUCAGUGGCGAACGGGUGAGUAACGCGUGGAUGAUCUACCUAUGAGAUGGGGAUAACUAUUAGAAAUAGUAGCUAAUACCGAAUAAGGUCAGUUAAUUUGUUAAUUGAUGAAAGGAAGCCUUUAAAGCUUCGCUUGUAGAUGAGUCUGCGUCUUAUUAGCUAGUUGGUAGGGUAAAUGCCUACCAAGGCAAUGAUAAGUAACCGGCCUGAGAGGGUGAACGGUCACACUGGAACUGAGAUACGGUCCAGACUCCUACGGGAGGCAGCAGCUAAGAAUCUUCCGCAAUGGGCGAAAGCCUGACGGAGCGACACUGCGUGAAUGAAGAAGGUCGAAAGAUUGUAAAAUUCUUUUAUAAAUGAGGAAUAAGCUUUGUAGGAAAUGACAAAGUGAUGACGUUAAUUUAUGAAUAAGCCCCGGCUAAUUACGUGCCAGCAGCCGCGGUAAUACGUAAGGGGCGAGCGUUGUUCGGGAUUAUUGGGGCGUA
rnacentral:rRNA from 1 species